rnacentral:ncRNA from 2 species
GGGGGAGUAUUGUCGCAAGGCUGAAACUUAAAGGAAUUGCCGAAAGGGCACCACCAGGAGUGGAGCCUGCGGCUUAAUUUGACUCAACACGGGGAAACUUACCAGGUCCAGACAUAGUAAGGAUUGGCAGACUGAGAGCUCUUUCUUGAUUCUAUGGGUGGUGGUGCAUGGCCGUUCUUAGUUUGUGGAGCGAUUUGUCUGGUUAAUUUCGUUAACGAACGAGACCUCGGCCUGCUAACUAGCUAUGUGGUGGCAUCCCUUCAUGGCCGGCUUCUUAGAGGGACUAUGGCUGUUUAGGCCAAGGAAGUUUGAGGCAAUAACAGGUCUGUGAUGCCCAUAGAUGUUCUGGGCCGCACGCGUGCUACACUGAUGUAUUCAACGAGUUCACACCUUGGCCGACAGGCCAGGGUAAUCUUUGAAAUUUCAUCGUGAUGGGGAUAUAUCAUUGCAAUUGUUGGUCUUCAGUGAGGAAUUCCUAGUAAGCACGAGUCAUCAGCUCGCGUUGAUUACGUCCCAGCCCUUUGUACACACCACCCGUCGUUCCUACCGAUUGAAUGAUCCGGUGAAGUGUUCGGGUCGCGGCGACGUGGGUGGUUCGCCGUCUGCGACGUCGCGAGAAGUCCACUAAACCUUAUCAUUUAGAGGAAGGAGAAGUCGUAACAAGGUUUCCAUAGGUGAACCUGCGGAAG